ACAUGCAGUCGAGCGGACAGAUGGGAGCUUGCUCCCUGAUGUUAGCGGCGGACGGGUGAGUAACACGUGGGUAACCUGCCUGUAAGACUGGGAUAACUCCGGGAAACCGGGGCUAAUACCGGAUGCUUGAUUGAACCGCAUGGUUCAAAUAUAAAAGGUGGCUUCUGCUAACACUUUCAGAAGGGCCCCCGGGGCAAUAACUAAUUGGGGAAGGAAAGGGUCACCCAGGGAAACAAGCCUAACCCAACUGAAAAGGUGAUCCGCCACACUGGGAAUGAAACACCGGCCCAAAUCCCACCGGAAGGAGCAAUAAGGAAUCCUCCGCAAUGGAACAAAGUCCGAACGAACAACGCCGCGUGGAUGAUGAAAGGUUUCCGAACCUAAACUCUGGUGGUUAGGAAAAAAAUACCGGUCCAUUAGCCGUAACCUGACCGUACCUAACCCAAAGCCCCGCUAAUACCUUCAACAACCCCGUAAAAGUAAGUGGCAGCUUGUCGGAUUAUGGGCUAAACGCUGCGAGCGUUCUUAAUCUG
rnacentral:rRNA from 1 species